CUGUCAUCCACUGUUAGAGAGGUCUGUCAUCCACUGUUAGAGAGGUCUGUCCUGUCUGUCAUCCACCGUUAGAGAGGUCUGUCAUCCACCGUUAGAGAGGUCUGUCAUCCACCGUUAGAGAGGUCUGUCAUCCACCGUUAGAGAGGUCUGUCCUGUCUGUCAUCCACCGUUAGAGAGGUCUGUCAUCCACCA